CUAACACAUGCAAGUCGAGCGAGGUAUUUAUACCUAGCGGCGGACGGGUGAGUAACACGUGGGUAACCUGCCUCAGAGAGGGGAAUAGCCUUCCGAAAGGAAGAUUAAUACCGCAUAAUAUAUACUUUUAGCAUUAUGAGUAUAUCAAAGGAGCAAUCCGCUUUGAGAUGGGCCCGCGGCGCAUUAGCUAGUUGGAGAGGUAACGGCUCACCAAGGCGACGAUGC
rnacentral:rRNA from 1 species